GAGGAGGCCCCGCAGCGACAUGGAGGGAGCUGCUUUGCUGAGAGUCUUUGUCCUCUGCAUCUGGUGAGCUUGGCUCAGAGCCCGGAGGCGGGAGGGAGGGCUCCCUGUCUGGGCUGCACAAUUGGGCAGGGCUUGGGCUGGGCCAGGAGCCAUGUGGGUUUUCCUAGGAACCAAAAUCACUUCCCGGAAUUGACCAACUGGUAGACUCGCCUAGAGGGGACGCAUUGUGUCCUAGUUGAGGCUAACAGUCAGUAUCCAGCCUCAACAUUCAGCAGAGGCCCCAGAUCAGGGUCUGAGCCAGGCCAACAAUGACCAAGGAGGAUGGGAUCCUGGGUGCAGCUCAUCACAAGCGUCGGGCGAGUCCAAGGCCCCAGCUCUCUGCCCUCCUGCUCCUCUGCUCUCUUCUGGUCCUCCCAGUUCUACUGGCUCAUGGUGUUGAGAUGGUUGCCUUGGCCUAGGGGGUCACACAGUG
rnacentral:sRNA from 1 species